CUCAGUUCGGAUUGGAGUCUGCAACCCGACUCCAUGAAGCUGGAUUCGCUAGUAAUCGCGCAUCAGCCACGGCGCGGUGAAUACGUCCCCGGGCCUUGUACACACCGCCCGUCAAGCCAUGGGAGCCGGGGGUACCUGAAGUGCGUGACCGCAAGGAGCGCCCUAAGGUAAAACCGGUGACUGGGGCUAAGUCGUAACAAGGUACC
rnacentral:rRNA from 1 species